CCCUUAGUAACUGCGAGUGAAGCGGGAAAAGCUCAAAUUUGAAAUCUGGCGGUUCCGCCGUCCGAGUUGUAAUUUAGAGAAGUGUUACCCGCGCUGGACCGUGUACAAGUCUCCUGGAAUGGAGCGUCAUAGAGGGUGAGAAUCCCGUCUUUGACACGGACUGCCAGGGCAUUGUGGUACGCUCUCAAAGAGUCGAGUUGUUUGGGAAUGCAGCUCAAAAUGGGUGGUAAAUUCCAUCUAAAGCUAAAUAUUGGGGAGAGACCGAUAGCGAACAAGUACCGUGAGGGAAAGAUGAAAAGAACUUUGGAAAGAGAGUUAAACAGUACGUGAAAUUGCUGAAAGGGAAACGCUUGAAGUCAGUCGCGUUGUUCAGGAUUCAGCUUCAGCUUCUGCUGGGUGUACUUCCUGUUCGACGGGUCAGCAUCAGUUUUGGCCGGUGGAUAAAGGCUUAGGGAAUGUGGCAUCCUUGGAUGUGUUAUAGCCCUGGGUUGCAUACAUCGGCUGGGACUGAGGAACUCAGCACGCCCGCAAGGGCCAGGUUCGACC
rnacentral:rRNA from 2 species